rnacentral:tRNA from 1 species
GGGCCGUUAGCUCAAUUAGGCAGAGCAGCUGACUCUUAAUCAGCGGGUUGGGGGUUCGAUUCCCUCACGGCUCAUCA